GCCUCUCGGUUGUUCCCCAAUUCGGGCAACUUCUCCAAGUCUUGGCAAACCGGACAUCGUUCUUCAUUUUAUCACGUUAUUUUGAGAGAGAUGAUGGCGAGAAGAGAAGACGAACGUCUUUCUUAUUCGCCGAAGUCGACUUAGGAUUUUCGAUACGAACUGAGGAGGCAGUCGUUCAUGAUCGCUGGUGCUCCUGUUACCAUCGAUCUCACAAGUGAGCGCAGAA